UACCUGGUUGAUCCUGCCAGUAAUCAUAUGCUUGUCUCAAAGAUUAAGCCAUGCAUGUCUAAGUACAUGCCGAAAUAAGGCGAAACCGCGAAUGGCUCAUUAAAUCAGUUAUGGUUCCUUAGAUCGUUUCUUCCUACUUGGAUAACUGUGGCAAUUCUAGAGCUAAUACAUGCAGUGAGCCUGAAGCCCUUUGGGCGACGGGUGCUUUUAUUAGACCAAGAUCGAUCGGGUUUCGGCCCGUAUUGUGUGGUGACUCUGGAUAACUUUGUGCUGAUCGCAUGGCCACGAGCCGGCGACGUUUCUUUCAAGUGUCUGCCUUAUCAACUUUCGAUGGUAGGUUACUUGCUUACCAUGGUUGUUACGGGUAACGGAGAAUCAGGGUUCGAUUCCGGAGAGGGAGCCUGAGAAACGGCUACCACAUCCAAGGAAGGCAGCAGGCGCGCAAAUUACCCACUCCCGGCGACGGGGAGGUAGUGACGAAAAAUAACAAUACGGGACUCUUUUGAGGCCCCGUAAUUGAAAUGAGUACACUCUAAAUCCUUUAACGAGGAUCAAUUGGAGGGCAAGUCUGGUGCCAGCAGCCGCGGUAAUUCCAGCUCCAAUAGCGUAUACUAAAGCUGCUGCGGUUAAAAAGCUCGUAGUUGGAUCUCAGUUCCAGACGAGUAGUGCAUCUACCCGAUGCGACGGCUCGGACUGAACAUCAUGCCGGUCCUUUCUUGGUGCACUUCAUUGUGUGCCUCGAGAAGGCCGGUGCUUUUACUUUGAAAAAAUUAGAGUGCUCAACGCAGGCGAGUCGCCUGAAUAAACUUGCAUGGAAUAAUAGAACAAGACCUCGUUUCUGUUCUGUUGGUUUUUGGAAUACGAGGUAAUGAUUAAGAGGGACAGACGGGGGCAUUCGUAUUGCGGCGCUAGAGGUGAAAUUCUUGGACCGUCGCAAGACGAACUACUGCGAAAGCAUUUGCCAAGAAUGUUUUCUUUGAUCAAGAACGAAAGUCAGAGGUUCGAAGGCGAUCAGAUACCGCCCUAGUUCUGACCAUAAACGAUGCCAACCAGCGAUCCGCCUGAGUUACUCAAAUGACUCGGCGGGCAGCUUCCGGGAAACCAAAGUGUUUGGGUUCCGGGGGAAGUAUGGUUGCAAAGCUGAAACUUAAAGGAAUUGACGGAAGGGCACCACCAGGAGUGGAGCCUGCGGCUUAAUUUGACUCAACACGGGAAAACUUACCCGGCCCGGACACUGGGAGGAUUGACAGAUUGAGAGCUCUUUCUUGAUUCGGUGGAUGGUGGUGCAUGGCCGUUCUUAGUUGGUGGAGCGAUUUGUCUGGUUAAUUCCGAUAACGAACGAGACUCUAGCCUAUUAAAUAGGUGCGGGGUUCCCAGCACCUUACAACCUUCUUAGAGGGACAAGCGGCUCCUAGCCGCACGAAACAGAGCAAUAACAGGUCUGUGAUGCCCUUAGAUGUCCGGGGCCGCACGCGCGCUACACUGAAGGAAGCAGCGUGUCUUUAUCCCUGUCUGAAAAGACUGGGUAACCCGUGGAACUUCUUUCGUGAUUGGGAUAGGGGCUUGCAAUUGUUCCCCUUGAACGAGGAAUUCCCAGUAAGCGCGAGUCAUAAGCUCGCGUUGAUUACGUCCCUGCCCUUUGUACACACCGCCCGUCGCUACUACCGAUUGAAUGAUUUAGUGAGGUCUUCGGACCGAUGUCCGGCGCGGCCUUUCGGUUGCGCCGGUCUGUUGGAAAGAUGACCAAACUUGAUCAUUUAGAGGAAGUAAAAGUCGUAACAAGGUUUCCGUAGGUGAACCUGCGGAAGGAUCAUUA
rnacentral:rRNA from 1 species